GGAGAAAGGAUGUGGUCCUCCUGCAGUUUACUGCUUGGACUAUGAUCAGUAUGGCAGCGGAUGUCUUCUCUUGCAGUUCAAAGCAGUGCAUGAAGUACUUCCUUGGAGACGAUUCCACCGCUCUGUAGAGCAAUUCUGAAGUAUGGAGUGUGCCAGAUGCAAAUUCAGUGCUCAGUUAUGAGAGUCAUACCUGCUGUUCACCCAAGUAAUU